AUACAUGCAGUCGAGCGAAUCGAUGGGAGCUUGCUCCCUGAGAUUAGCGGCGGACGGGUGAGUAACACGUGGGCAACCUGCCUAUAAGACUGGGAUAACUUCGGGAAACCGGAGCUAAUACCGGAUACGUUCUUUUCUCGCAUGAGAGAAGAUGGAAAGACGGUUUACGCUGUCACUUAUAGAUGGGCCCGCGGCGCAUUAGCUAGUUGGUGAGGUAAUGGCUCACCAAGGCGACGAUGCGUAGCCGACCUGAGAGGGUGAUCGGCCACACUGGGACUGAGACACGGCCCAGACUCCUACGGGAGGCAGCAGUAGGGAAUCUUCCGCAAUGGACGAAAGUCUGACGGAGCAACGCCGCGUGAACGAAGAAGGCCUUCGGGUCGUAAAGUUCUGUUGUUAGGGAAGAACAAGUACCAGAGUAACUGCUGGUACCUUGACGGUACCUAACCAGAAAGCCACGGCUAACUACGUGCCAGCAGCCGCGGUAAUACGUAGGUGGCAAGCGUUGUCCGGAAUUAUUGGGCGUAAAGCGCGCGCAGGUGGUUCCUUAAGUCUGAUGUGAAAGCCCACGGCUCAACCGUGGAGGGUCAUUGGAAACUGGGGAACUUGAGUGCAGAAGAGGAAAGUGGAAUUCCAAGUGUAGCGGUGAAAUGCGUAGAGAUUUGGAGGAACACCAGUGGCGAAGGCGACUUUCUGGUCUGUAACUGACACUGAGGCGCGAAAGCGUGGGGAGCAACAGGAUUAGAUACCCUGGUAGUCCACGCCGUAAACGAUGAGUGCUAAGUGUUAGAGGGUUUCCGCCCUUUAGUGCUGCAGCUAACGCAUUAAGCACUCCGCCUGGGGAGUACGGCCGCAAGGCUGAAACUCAAAGGAAUUGACGGGGGCCCGCACAAGCGGUGGAGCAUGUGGUUUAAUUCGAAGCAACGCGAAGAACCUUACCAGGUCUUGACAUCCUCUGACAACCCUAGAGAUAGGGCUUUCCCCUUCGGGGGACAGAGUGACAGGUGGUGCAUGGUUGUCGUCAGCUCGUGUCGUGAGAUGUUGGGUUAAGUCCCGCAACGAGCGCAACCCUUGAUCUUAGUUGCCAGCAUUCAGUUGGGCACUCUAAGGUGACUGCCGGUGACAAACCGGAGGAAGGUGGGGAUGACGUCAAAUCAUCAUGCCCCUUAUGACCUGGGCUACACACGUGCUACAAUGGAUGGUACAAAGGGCUGCAAACCUGCGAAGGUAAGCGAAUCCCAUAAAGCCAUUCUCAGUUCGGAUUGCAGGCUGCAACUCGCCUGCAUGAAGCCGGAAUCGCUAGUAAUCGCGGAUCAGCAUGCCGCGGUGAAUACGUUCCCGGGCCUUGUACACACCGCCCGUCACACCACGAGAGUUUGUAACACCCGAAGUCGGUGAGGUAACCUUCAUGGAGCCAGCCGCCUAA
rnacentral:rRNA from 2 species